rnacentral:lncRNA from 1 species
CUAAUUCAUUUAAUUAUUUACUAAUUUAGCUCCAUCUUCUGGUUGAUAAAAGAAAAACUCCCUGUCACUUUGGAGCAGGGGCGGAGAGGUGGGGCCGGUUCUGCUGGGGGGUGACGGGCAACGCUGCCCCGUCUCCCAGUAUGAGCCACCACCCCACGCUUCAGACACAGCUGGGCCAGCAGCGUCACGAGCAGCCAGGACACAGCUUGGGGACGCUGAGGGGACCAGCCGCCAAACCAGCACACCCAGUCAGGGGCUGACAGUGCUUAGAACCAUCCCAACGUGCUACAGAUGGAGGGAAAUCCCCCUGGAUUCCCGUGUGGUGCCCACUCACCAGCUCCAGCUCCACUGCCCUCUGGUUGGGCCACACCGACACUUCUGGUUUCUUCCCCACAAACCCUUCGUCUUGCAAACUGCACCAUUCUUGUCCAGAAUCAAAUCUGUGCAAUUGCUGUAUGAACAAAAAUAACUGUCAUUGACUAUGUACACUAUGUUCUGUAAAAUCUUUUACAAUAAAAUACAUAAAUUCUGUUGGUAGGUCA